rnacentral:rRNA from 1 species
AUGGCGGAAUGCCGUCGGAUCAAGCAGCGUAAAGCUGAUGAGGUGCGACGCCUGGAAUUGGCGCGCAAGGAGGAAGAGUUGUUGGCAAGGGAAGGAGCUCUUGAGGAGGCACAUUUUCGUGCUGCCGAGAUGAGGGCUGGCAAGGACAGAUGGAGUCAUCGCCCCGAGAUGUUUGAUGGGACGGUGGCAACAGAAGCUAUGGCGGCAACAACAUCCAUGUCAGAAUCUAUUGCUGCUGCAAUUAGUCUCCCCCAGCUGCCUGCUAGAUCGUCUCCUCUGGCACAGAGUAAAUCAUCUGCUGCGGCUAGUCGGGCGGGGCUGACUAAAUAUGCUCAGGGUAAUGUGUUGCAAAAUAAUGAUAGGGCACACGCUGUUGCUACCAUGAGAGCUGAGGAUAGGAAUGUUGGUUCAGUUAAUGGGGCUCACCAGUUGCAACAUCCACCCUUUUGUGGUGUGAUGGUUGUGGUCUUGGCCAUUGUGUGGACAAUUGCCCAGACAGAAAACCUUGGGAGUCUGCCUUCUCGUUCUUUGUAUAAACAUAAUUUGAUCAAGGCCUUUACUCUAUUCCAUGGUGGCUUCUGA